AGGAAUCUGCCUAUUAGUGGGGGACAACAUCUCGAAAGGGAUGCUAAUACCGCAUACGUCCUACGGGAGAAAGCAGGGGAUCACUUGUGACCUUGCGCUAAUAGAUGAGCCUAAGUCGGAUUAGCUAGUUGGUGGGGUAAAGGCCUACCAAGGCGACGAUCUGUAGCGGGUCUGAGAGGAUGAUCCGCCACACUGGGACUGAGACACGGCCCAGACUCCUACGGGAGGCAGCAGUGGGGAAUAUUGGACAAUGGGGGGAACCCUGAUCCAGCCAUGCCGCGUGUGUGAAGAAGGCCUUAUGGUUGUAGAGCACUUUAAGCGAGGAGGAGGCUCUUUUGGUUAAUACCCAGAAUGAGUGGACGUUACUCGCAGAAUAAGCACCGGCUAACUCUGUGCCAGCAGCCGCGGUAAUACAGAGGGUGCAAGCGUUAAUCGGAUUUACUGGGCGUAAAGCGCGCGUAGGCGGCCAAUUAAGUCAAAUGUGAAAUCCCCGAGCUUAACUUGGGAAUUGCAUUCGAUACUGGUUGGCUAGAGUGUGGGAGAGGAUGGUAGAAUUCCAGGU
rnacentral:rRNA from 1 species